AAUCGAAAUUUGACAGUGCGACAAUCAGCAAGCGGCUGUAAACAAGCUGAAGAGAAGUGCAUGAACGCGGCCUCAAUCAGGCGACAUUUAAAGGAUAAAUCCAAUCCUCUAGAGCUUCCGCGUGCACUCAUAUUGAGGACUUCCAAAAGGAGCUGUAGUAUAAUGGGUUAAUAAACAGAUGAAUCUCUUCGUUCAACUUCAAUACCUCCGCUCAUAAAAG